GAUGAACGCUGACAGAAUGCUUAACACAUGCAAGUCUACUUGAAUUUGGGUUUUUUAACUUCGAUUUGGGUGGCGGACGGGUGAGUAACGCGUAAAGAACUUGCCUCACAGCUAGGGACAACAUUUGGAAACGAAUGCUAAUACCUGAUAUUAUGAUUAUAGGGCAUCCUAGAAUUAUGAAAGCUAUAUGCGCUGUGAGAGAGCUUUGCGUCCCAUUAGCUAGUUGGAGAGGUAACGGCUCACCAAGGCGAUGAUGGGUAGCCGGCCUGAGAGGGUGAACGGCCACAAGGGGACUGAGACACGGCCCUUACUCCUACAGGAGGCAGCAGUGGGGAAUAUUGGACAAUGGACCGAGAGUCUGAUCCAGCAAUUCUGUGUGCACGAUGACGUUUUUCGGAAUGUAAAGUGCUUUCAGUUGGGAAGAAAAAAAUGACGGUACCAACAGAAGAAGUGACGGCUAAAUACGUGCCAGCAGCCGCGGUAAUACGUAUGUCACGAGCGUUAUCCGGAUUUAUUGGGCGUAAAGCGCGUCUAGGUGGUUAUGUAAGUCUGAUGUGAAAAUGCAGGGCUCAACUCUGUAUUGCGUUGGAAACUGUGUAACUAGAGUACUGGAGAGGUAAGCGGAACUACAAGUGUAGAGGUGAAAUUCGUAGAUAUUUGUAGGAAUGCCGAUGGGGAGGCCAGCUUACUGGACAGAUACUGACGCUGAAGCGCGAAAGCGUGGGUAGCAAACAGG
rnacentral:rRNA from 1 species